AUCGCUUCUCGGCCUUUUGGCUAAGAUCAAGUGUAGUAUCUCUUUCGUGAUCCAGCUUGUAACCAAU
rnacentral:snRNA from 1 species